rnacentral:lncRNA from 1 species
AUUAAUGAUUUCUAGGGUAGCAUACAGUUUGAUUCCUAUGUUUUGAGAGUAUUAAACAAAUGGAGGCAUCUGUAACCUAGGAAAGAGACUAUCUCAUGUGGAAGACAGAGUGUGCAACACAACAGGAAAGACAUAGGGAUGCUUCCAUGUGGUGGGUGUAUCACCAGCUUGAAGGCACUUUGCUCAUAGGAAAACCCUGAGAACAGACACAUGGAGUCAGAAAGAGUUAAGCAAUACAUGUAGAUGAAAGUCAUGGAGAAACUUUAUUUCAGGUAGAGGCAAGGAAGAAUAGGGAAGUGAACAGUCAAAAAUUCAGAAAUACUGUAAGAAACGUCAGGCACUUUUUCUUUCUUUUUAUUACUUAAGGGAAACUGUAUUUAGUUUUCUCUUUAAAACAAUCUGGUCUAAAAACGAGUUGAAGUUAAGAGAGAAGAGCACGAAUCUUCUAACAAAGUCAGACAUAGACCGCAAGGCAGAAUGGGCACUUGUCAGGAACUUCCAUGUCGGAUCUUGUCCAUCUUGGAACCGAGGUCAUCGCAGAUUCUGGUCAGUUCAUUGUUUCUUUAAGUCUUCUGCUCAGUGGCCUUCUCCAGCAAGGGGAUGUGCACCUACCUGCUUCUUCCUUAGGCUCGUCUGGAAGGCCACUAACCUUACUCCGUAUGUGGUUGAUCUUCCCAUCUUUCGGCUUGCAUUUCUUUUCUGCAUGGGCCUUCAGUGCUUGCUAUCUUUGGCCUUCCUUUCCAACUGUUACUAUGCAAUCAACGUGCUUCUUCAGCGAUCCUUCAUUGGUUAGGAAGCAUUCAUUAGUAGCCUUUGAUCAACUUUUUUAGUGGCUCAGCUUUGAGAGGUCAGAGAAAAUGGAAAAAUCUUCCAUGGAGUUCAGGUCUGUUGCAAAUUGGUCUUUUUCUUUCCGAACCUUCUGGAUCUCAGCUUUGGCAGGUUGCUUCUGUCUCUGGGCCUCCUUCCUCGCCCCGUACACAAUCCCCUCAAACCCAUCCACGAUCUUUCCCAUCUGCAGGCGCUUUAUGCAGAGCGCAUCGUGCUCUUCAGCACCAGGCUCUCCUUUUGUGUCACUUCCGGGCUGCGUCCUGGUUCCUGGGGUGUACGGCAGCACGUCCACGAUGGGCGGCAAGGGCAGCGGCACAGAAAUCCACCGGUGGUCCCAGAAAACCAGCUUCCUCCCCACCAGCCUCAGGCGGACUUCCCAGGAAGGUGCAGCCCGAAACUCGUGCACUUCUCGUCUCAGGGGAGCACACGCGAGUCUCUGAGGGCUGCCCUUUGGGAGCAGGUGAACUUGAGGGAAGUGGGCUGUUUCUGCAGGCCGACUUUCCAAACAGGAAAUCCUAAACCGCUCCACCCCGGCGGUGUACCUAGAACCUCAGCUUGUCCCGGAAGUACUCCCGCCCUCUGGUCCCAGGCAGCCGCGGGCAGGCUGAGCGGAAGCGGCGCGGAGGCAGGGGACCAGGCGGUGGGCCCCCUGAUCCGCCUGCGGGUGGGAGCCCAAGUGCGCGAAGAAGCCGCGGUUCCCUCCUCGCCCGUCGCCCCUUCGGCCCCUGCGGGGGCUGUACCCCAGGCGUGCCAUCCGCCGAGGCUGAAAGCACCUGCCUGCUCGGAGGUUCCUGAGGAACUCACUGUGUAUACCUUCCUUGUAUAUUCAAGGUGGAGAGCGCUCAACUGUAUUUCAAGUUGCAAUCUGGUGAGUUUUUCUAUAUCUCUGUAUUGAGAUCCAACCUCUCUAGUGCUGAAGGAGAGAAAGAGUUCUCAGCUCCAAGGUAAGCUUAAAAAGUUCAGGAAUUAGGGUUCUUGGUCAGUGAACAGUAGGAUGGAAAGGCAAAACAGUUGGGUAUAGGGAUUGGCAAAAAUUCAAGACCUUUUGCAUUUUUUUCCUUCCCUAGUCCCUACUCCAAACUGCCCCACUGUUAAUAAGUUUUAAAGCUGUUUAAGCAGUCAUUAAAUCUUGCUGGGAGAUUUCUGGGUACUCUAAAUUUACAAAUAAAAGUUCAGAACUGGGAGCCA